GAUGAACGCUGGCGGCGUGCUUAACACAUGCAAGUCGAACGGUGAAGGCGGAGCUUGCUCUGCUGGAUCAGUGGCGAACGGGUGAGUAACACGUGAGCAAUCUGCCCCUGACUCUGGGAUAAGCGCUGGAAACGGCGUCUAAUACUGGAUACGAGCUGCGAAGGCAUCUUCAGCAGCUGGAAAGAACUUCGGUCAGGGAUGAGCUCGCGGCCUAUCAGCUUGUUGGUGAGGUAACGGCUCGCCAAGGCGUCGACGGGUAGCCGGCCUGAGAGGGUGACCGGCCACACCGGGACUGAGACACGGCCCAGACUCCUACGGGAGGCAGCAGUGGGGAAUAUUGCACAAUGGGCGAAAGCCUGAUGCAGCAACGCCGCGUGAGGGACGACGGCCUUCGGGUUGUAAACCUCUUUUAGCAGGGAAGAAGCGAAAGUGACGGUACCUGCAGAAAAAGCGCCGGCUAACUACGUG
rnacentral:rRNA from 1 species